rnacentral:pre_miRNA from 1 species
GAGAGGAUCUAGUAAAGCACUGGUCUCAGCAGAUUGAGGAGAGCACCACAGUGGUCACCACACAGCCCACCGAGGUUGGAGCUGCUGAG